CCAGCUGAAGAAAUUGAAAACUCUUUGGCAUUUGUCUGCAAGCUUUAAAGCCGUCCGAAAACCAUUGUGCUUCUGCUAAUUUAACUUGAUAGCCAGCAACAAAAACAAGAAGAAGAACCCAGUACAGUUGCAGUUUCUAGUUUUUCAUGCUUGCCAUCUUUUCGUUCUUGAGAUUGAAAUGAUUUAAGAUUUAUUUAAAGGGUCUUUAUCUUAGUAUGCAAUUAAUGGUUUGAAAACAGAUUAUAUGCUAUUACAAGUGAAUUUUUCUGAUAACGAUUGCUUGACUAGGAUUCUUGUCAUAGUAUAAAUUAUUAAACAUGAUUUUAUAAUUAAUGAUUCGUACAUUAAGUGAAAUAGAAACCAGGAUUUGAAAACUACUAUGUUGGUAAAAUCGCUUGAAGCAACAGCCUAAAAUUAUCAGAUGGUGAGAAAACAGGAGAUGAUCUACCAAGAGAGUAAUGAAGUUUUCUAAAGUCCAACUGAAAUGAUUUCAGGAUUCGCUUCAACAAUGCAAAAAUAUAUUUGAUAUUUCAAAUCUAUGAAAUUCAUUAUCUUUAUCGUUAUCUUGGACGUAUCACAUGUCAAAAUGCAUUAAUUACCGAUGCUGGCACUUGAAAUAAAAAAAAUCAAAUGAUAACCAAGGUAAAGAAGCAAAGUAUUUUUAUAUUACAUACUUGAUUGUACCCCAAACCCAAUUUGUAAGACAUGAAGAAGAAAUCUCUUUUAUAGAGUUAUUUCCAAAAUGGCAGAAUCUACCAUCUUGAACCAAAGUAUAUCAUUAGAACAAGGAGGAGGAUUAAGGACAUUCUAUUUCGAGAGCUACCUGAUAGGGUACUUCAUUCUUGACAGAGUACUGGCCUUCGUUGUCAUAUUGCCACCGAAUCUGAACUUCUUUGAGGAAAUGAAUGCUUUGGUGGAAGAAGACCUUGAGCAAGAAAGAGACCAACAUGAAAUAGAGAUGAAGAAAAUCUCUAAUUAUGCAAAUAUGGUCUGAUUGGCUUGUCAGAUAACUAACCAAACUAAUCACUACUUUCAAUCUCAAUUAAAUUCCAACAAACAAUCUAUUUGCUAUACGAACUUAGGUGGUGAUCAACCAAAUAAAGUUGCCUGAAAACUGCUCCGACGAAACUCUGGGGAUAUAGUACAUUGUUUGUUGAUAUUGAAUGGGUAAACAGAAUAUUAGAAGCCCUUGCUGAAAUUUGACGGAGAUUGAAAGUAGUGAUUAAUUUGGUUCGUUAAAACUUACAAGCCCACAAGACCAAUUUGAUUAGUUAGAGAUCUUCUUCCACCAAGCAUCCACUUCCCCACAGGAUUUCAUGGCAGCCAAUUGUAUGCGGAUCGAUCUUCAAUUUGCCGUCUCAGAGUAUGAAACAUGAUCCAACAUUAUCACAGCCUAGCACUAUCUAAGUAGGUUUCUCUUUU
rnacentral:lncRNA from 1 species